GGGCAUAUAUUUUAAAUGCAAAACCCAGUUUGAUUACGUGUGCAGGUCUAUCUUUAGAACAGGUCAUGGCACAGGCAAAUGCAAGGACAAAGAACUCACCAUGCUGGGGACUGACGUGGACGUAUACGGCAGCGAUAGUAUGGGGAAUCUGGACUGAAAGGAACAGGAGAGUGCAUGAGGACAGACGCACGAGCCCACAGGAGAUAGGAAGGAGGACAGUGCAGGAUGUGACAGCGACAUUCAAGGUGGACAGAUAUAAAGCAAAAGGUACGAGAAGGGAACAGGGAUGGAUGGAUAUAUGGACCGGAGGCGCCCAGUUGGCGAGAACGUGAAAACUGUCUUAAUUGUUUAAUAUUUGUUACUAAGUCUGUAACCUUAUUUUAAUAGGAACCUGUAUUAAGGGGAACAAAAACUGAGGUAUGUGGUGGGAUGGGGUUCAACUAAAAAUAGAGCCCUGUCUUGUCAAAUACCAUGGGGGAACAUUUGGUGAAUGGAAUGACCCAAAAAGUCAUAUCCAUAUAGAGGUCUAUCCCUCAGGGGGUGGACUCUAUUAUUAAAGUAGAAACGAUAUGUGGAGUCACUUAUGUGUAGUAGACCGAAAGGUAAUGGCAGAGUUUUCCCUUGGCAAAGGAAAAGAUGCCUUGGGCACACCAGGGUUUUUACACUCCCCAUUGCCUUAGGCCCACUACGUAAGAACGAUGAGGCAUAGAUCGUUCUAGGAAACAUUGAGUCAGUUCCCCAAAGGUUGUGAAGGCCCAAACGAUCGUAAGAUCCGGGGUCGGAACAAUGCGGAGGGUGUAGGGUGGAUCGCAUGUG
rnacentral:lncRNA from 1 species